rnacentral:rRNA from 1 species
AGCUGGAUUCGCUAGUAAUCGCGCAUCAGCCAUGGCGCGGUGAGUACGUUCCCGGGCCUUGUACACACCGCCCGUCAAGCCAUGGAAGCCGGGAGUGCCUGAAGUGUGCAACCGCAAGGAGCGCCCUAAGGUAAAACUGGUGACUGGGGCUAAGUCGUAACAAGGUAAC